rnacentral:rRNA from 1 species
AUUGAACGCUGGCUGCAGGCCUAACACAUGCAAGUCGAGCGAGCGGCGGACGGGUUAGUAAUGUCUGGGAAACUGCCUGAUGGAGGGGGAUCACUCCUCGAAACGGUCGCUAAUACCGCAUACCAUCAGAUGUGCCCCGCUGGGAUUAGCUAGGAGGUGGGGUAACGGCUCACCUAGGCGACGAUCCCUAGCUGGUCUGAGAGGAUGACCAGCCACACUGGGAAUGAGACACGGUCCAGACUCCUACGGGAGGCAGCAGUGGGGAAUAUUGCACAAUGGGCGCAAGCCUGAUGCAGCCAUGCCGCGUGUGUGAAGAAUGUCUUAGGGGGGUAAAGCACUUUCAGCGGGGAGGCGUUACCCGCAGAAGAAGCACCGGCUAACUCCGUGCCAGCAGCCGCGGUAAUUC